ACUGAAUCCAAUGGUGGAGACAUUGUCGAAACGGUAUCGAAACGCUUGGAUUCAUCCACGGCAAGAACAGAAUUGAAUUCAUCUCCGCACAGGGGAGCCAAACCCAGAUGCUGGAUUGUGGAAAUACUUUGGAAAAUUCGCAUAAUGGAGAAGACAUGCAAGGAGAUUGAUUGAUUAUAUAAGAGGUGGUGGACACUAGUGUGCAUUAUUUUAAGAAUCAGCACCACAUGGUCACUGACCUCUCUAGAGAGAAGAGUACAUGCAAAAGAGUAGCAAGAGAGAACUUUGUUUUUUUUUAUAAAAAAAAAAGUGAAGAGAGAGGGAGAGGGAGUAGUGUAACAGAGUUAUGAUUGUGAUUCAGAAGGGAAAAAGCAGAUUGGAAGGAGGAAAACUGGUGUUAGCUUAUUUUAGGAGAGAAUUGGAUGCUUUUUGAUCAAGAGUAGUAAAGCGCACAUGGACAAAAGUGGAUUGGUUCUUUCUUCUCCUCUCUUUCCAAAGUGUUGAUUGUUUGCUUGUCACUGCAGCAAAGCCAAGCUUUCUCCUCUUUAGCCUUUCUUUCUUUCUUUAUUUCUUUUGCUUUCCACUGCUUCUGCUUCUUCAUUUUUUUUUCACUUUUCCUGGUUGUCUCAGUCCAAUUAUUAUCAGUGCACACAACAUUUGUUGAAUGUUGAUUCAUGGCAAUGGUGGUAUUCACA